rnacentral:lncRNA from 1 species
CUGGCUAAUUUUUGUGUAUUUUGUAGAGAAGGGGUUUUACCACGUUGCCCAGGCUUAGAUACCAUCUUAAAUGGUCUCCUCUUUCACCCUUUCUCCCUGAGCCCCACUCUGACAUCUCAUCAUCCUAAGGGCAAGAAAAGAAAUAAAAUGAAAGAUAAGGUGCUCUUUUUCCUUAACUAGAACAAAACUGAUCAAAGUUGUUGAGUCCUAAUUUCCCAUCUCUUAGGCUGUGCCCUGGAGGAACUGGGGAGAGCUCUCUGGCUGUAUGGUGACUGUUCCUUUUACCAUGCCUAUUUAUAAUGCAAGCGCCCCUCCCACCAAAAUCUACUUUCCUGAUAUAAUGGUUUCUGGGGCUCCAUUCCUCACUAAGCUUAUUAGAGCUUCUCUAUCUUGGAGAUAGAAUGGGAAACAUUAAGAUGGGGCCAUUGAGCUUCUCCCUGAAAUUGAGGACACAAAAUUUUCCAGUUAGCAUUUACCACUGUCCUCUCCUUGACUUGGGCAUCUGCAUCCUAGGCUAUAACAUCUUCCUUAGUAUUGCUUCAUGCUUUUAUUUUUGCUAAGAUUGCUUUGCUGGCCUUGCUCAACAUUUUUUGUUGUUGUUGUUGUUGUUGUUGUUUUGAGACGGAGUCUCGCUCUGUCGCCCAGGCUGGAGUGCAGUGGCGCUAUCUCGGCUCACUGCAACUUCCACCUCCUGGGUUCAAGCGAUUCUCCUGCCUCAGCCUCCCGAGUAGCUGGGACUGCAAGUGUCUGCCACCACACCCAGCUAAUUUUUGUAUUUUUAGUAGAGACGGGGUUUCACCAUAUUGGCCAGGCUGGUCUCGAACUCCUGACCUUGUGAUCCCCCCGCCUCGGCCUCCCAAAGUGCUGGGAUUACAGGUGCGAGCCACCGCACCCGACCUUUGCUCAACAUUCUAUAGAUGCCGAGCUUGUUUGUUUAAGUUCUCCAGGGGAUCAGUCAGGAGAACUAGGUAGGAAGCUGGGCUUUAGGAACUUGUCUUUACUUUACCAGUGGCCAGAGAAGUUGGGAGGGCUGAGGUACGGUGGAAAAGUAAUGCAUUCCUAUCACAAUUGGCUAGAACAGAGGGAUCAGCCAGGCUGUUUGGUGAAGCUGUUUCCAAGGCCCAUACUAGGUGGCGGGAAGGCCCACACUCCUGUAGCUUUUUCACUCUCAUGAAACCGUCAUCCAGCAGGGGUCAGCUGUUCAUCAGGUGCAACUUCCAGAUGUUAUCUUCCAGAGGUUAUCAUAACCUCUAUUACCUCCCAAUAGAAUAAAUCUCUCUGAGCUGAAAAUAUACUCAAUCAUGAAGACAAGAAGACCGUACAUGCUUGGAGGUUUAGAUUUUUGAAGUUUUCUUUGGGCAGAAAGAUGACAUGAAAUGGCCAACUCACCUACGGCGAAGUGACUUAAGAUGCUGUAGAGCCUUCCCAUCAUCUACACACUUGGCAUAUAUUCCUAACAACAGGAUCUGAAAGAAACUAGGCCUGUCCACAUGGAAGUCAGACCAAGAUUUGAUUUUUUUUAAAUUACACAAUAAAUCAUUAAAUAGUAAAGCACUGUCACAUAAGAUUAAAGGGUUAUACUCGACAAUCUCUCUAGAUUAUAUUGCAGCACUUGCCUGUGCCUUAAAUGCAGACGGAGCACAAACUGCAUCUGAGAAGGAACUCCAGCUCUGCCUGUAUUUAGCCAUGACCUUCAGCAAAUCAUUUAACCUGUGUUUUCAUGAUAGAAAUGAAAAUGUCCACUUGAACCCAGGAGGCAGAGGCUGCAGUGAGCCAAGAUCGCGCCACUGCACUCCAGCCUGGUAACAGAGACUCUGUCUAAAAAAAAAAAAAAAAAAAAAAAAGGCAAUGAAAAUGUUUUAUGAAAUACAACACUAGACAUAAAAGUCUGGGUGGGAGUUUGAUUAUGCCACUCUGUCAGGCUUCUCACUCUUCCUUGUAAAGAACUUAUGCAUCCUUCAAAGCUGACUCAGAUGUUAUUAUGGUAAUACUUAACCAUAUGGGUUGGGCUGUUUGUGUAACUGCCACAUCUGCCCAAGGCUCUUCAUGUUAUUCUUGGUGCCUGGACCAAUGUGACCCGGAGAAGUGCUAAAUUAAAUAUUAGUUGAAAAAGUUAUAUCAGCCUAGGUUGGGACAAAUGAAAGCGACAAGUCGAUUAGUUGAAUACGAAUUCUACUAGGGACACAGAGGAACUGCACCUUAUCUGUGGAUUGCAAGGCUUGAAUUAUUAACAAUUCUGGGUUCACUGCACAUAUGCUGUGGAAAGCUAUCGACUCUGCUUUGACUACUAUGUGCUUUGCCUUACAGAAUAAAUCAUGGUUCUUUCAGCUUUCAUCAGUUAAUGCGGGAUUGCCUUACCAUCUCUCUGUUGGGCACUGAGUAUAACCUCAAGAAUAGCAGAGAAAGUCCCACUCUGAGGUGGCAAUAAUAUGAUUUAUACCAGGUGGCAAUAAAGGACACCUUUUAUAAAGAAAUUAUAUUACAAAACAUUUUAUAGUUUUGCAAAUAUUAAAUUCCUUGCCAAGCUGUAUUCACAUUAUACUUGGAGUAACAGUUUCGGGUUAUUUACAUGUUUUAAGUGGAGUACCAAGAAAUGUGGUGGUUAUUGUAUACACGUGCAUCUUCAUCAUAGGAACGAGGAAUGUGCUGGCCCUUCCCAGCAGCAAGGGAGAGGCCCCUGGCCUGCCUCGACUCAUUCCACUUCUAACUCUGACAGACUAUCCAGCAAUAGUGAGAUGAAAGCCCCAAAACUCAAAAGCACAAUGAAUCACUGCAGUUCCAGAACAGCCUAGAGGCAGCAACCCAGGGAAGGGAGCCAUUCUGAACCAUGAGUUCCCCCAAGCCUGAACUUGUCCUUCGAGCUUCACUCCCUUGCUAUUGUUGACCCAUUCUGAAAGGACUGGGGUGGUCUCCAAGUGCUAGGCACUGGGCCGACAGAAAGCUGCUUCCCAAGCUUUGUGAAAGGAAUCAUCAGAGGCAUCUUAAGAGGCAGGGGCUGAUUCAGCAAGGCUGGGGUGCUUUGAGAUUGUCCAUGUCUGAUCUACGCACCACGCUUUGAACACUAUGUAGCUGAAGGACUGUAUCUCAACAUUUCUACACAUUAGAAUCACCUGGGAGGCUUCCUCGAUCCAUAGAGGCGCCCACGCCUCACUCCUACUUAAAUCCAGACUAGGCAUGCAGGGUGCUGGAGCCCAGGCAUCAGUAUUUUUCUAAACAUUCCCCAGGUGAUUCUUAAAGUGGCCAGGUUCAAGAACAGCUGAUCUAAAGGUUCAACUCACUGUAAGCAUGGAACAGCCUCAAAGGAACUUCCUGCAAGUGAUCCAGACUUAACUCUGUUGGUCUUAACUGCUUUUAAUUUUCUUGUCCCCACUGACCAGUUAUGUGCUGAAGGCAAUUAAUUGCCACCUCUCAUUUUAACUCCUUUCAACAGAGGAAAUAAGCAGGCGUAUUCCUCCUUCUCUGUAUCUCACCCCAGUUCCUGACCCAGGGUGUACUUGACAGGUUAACACUUGGCGAUGCAUGACAUUGAGGUGCCUUCCUCUCCCUAACCUGAAGGACGCUCUAGUGAGCAAUUAUCACACCAAAAGAAAGAUGAAGGAGUCUGCAGCAUUCAAAGACAGAAGAGCAGCCAGGCAUGGUGGCUCACACUUGUAAUCCCAGCACUUUGGGAGGCCGAGGCGGGUGGAUCACGAGGUCAGGAGUUCAAGACCAGCUAGGACAACACAGUGAAACCCCAUCUCCAUUAAAAAUACAAAAAUCAGCUGGGCGUGGUGGCAGGCGCCUGUAAUCCCAGCUACUCGGAAGGCUGAGGUGGGAGAAUUGCUUAAACCCAGAGAGGCAGAGGUUGCAGGGAGCCAAGAUCGUGCCACUGCACUCCAGCCUAGGCAGCAGAGCUAGACUCCGUCUCAAAGAAAAAAAAGAGCACUGAGAACCAGCUGUAAAUGGUGAUCUACUCUUGCUAAAACGAUUCCUUAAGCUCAACAGAGUCAAUCUUGUUUCAAAUGCAUUUAGUGGCAGAAAAACAAACUAAUUUUCUUUCAUUAUUUGACUGGACUCAAUGCAUUCAAGUCAUGAAAGUUGAUGAUUCCAAAUUCAGAAUAAAAUAACACAUGACACAGAUAGUUUAGCAUUUUAUCCUCAUUUUUAACCUACAAAGUGUAAUGUUCUCAUAAAGUAUUUUAAUAAAUAUAUUAAGGCUUAAG